CGUCUAGAAGUACAGAAGUAGCUUGAAAAUCGAAAUCACACAAGAAAUGGCAUUCUACUGUUGUCUAUAGAAAUAUCUCAUAUCAUUUGAUUAGUAGGUAAUGACAAGAACUAUUUGUGCCGUUCGUAUGGGCAAGAUUAAAUCUGAAAUGUGUAAAAGAAUUGGUUCAAUGUAAACAAUAUCCCAGCGUACGUCAAUGGCCGACUGUUACGAGCUCGGCUAUCCAGUCGAACGUUUUGAAGUUGCUGUGAGUCGACGAUUUCAUUGCGCCAUUUGCUUGAAUGUCUUCAAAGAUCCAGUUAUGUGUCGUCGGAAUCAACACCCGUUCUGUCGUGGUUGUAUCACUAGACAUCUUACGAACUUUCAAACAUGCCCAGUUUGUAUGGAUCAACUAACUGUCGAUACACUUAGCGAUGCUCCGCGGAUUUUAACCAUUACCUUUCUGAAUUGAGAAUGCGUUGUGAUUUUUAUCCACGUGGUUGCAGUCAGUACAUUAAAUGAG